ACGAUCAUGGAGGCACGGGAGGUGAAGACCACGCAGGUGGAGGAAGUGAGGAAUGUGAUGGAGAAGAUUGAGCUCAACAAGGGACAGGAUGACCCACUGAGCACUUCAGAGGAGCAAGUGGAGCACGCAGGCAACAAGACCAGCAAAGUCCCAGAGGCAUCAAGAUCCAGACCUAAGAAGAAAAGGCCACUAAGUGUCCAGCUUCAUGCCAACCACAGAGCCAGCCUUCAUGAUUAGUUUUUCCAGCCUGGAUGAGUCCUCCUUUGCUGUGCUGCUCCCCCAGCACAACACAGCAUACAAUAGUACUCCGGCAACCUCAGGAGCUUCCUGCAGAUGUUGAAAGACCUCAGUCUCCUGAGGAAGUACAGUCUGCUUUGGCCUUUUUUAUACAGGUGCUGCGUGUUGCAUGACCAGUCCAGUUUGUUGUCCACCCACAGCCUGAGGUACUUCAUACUUAAUGCAGCAGAUU
ensembl:lncRNA